rnacentral:tRNA from 2 species
CGGGAUGUAGCGCAGCCCGGUAGCGCGCGUCGUUCGGGACGACGAGGCCGCUGGUUCGAAUCCAGUCAUCCCGACCC